GACGAACGCUGGCGGCGCGCUUAACACAUGCAAGUCGAACGGAAAGGCCUGCUUUCCCUUGUGGAUUGCGGGUACUCGAGUGGCGAACGGGUGAGUACCACGUGAGUGAUCUGCCCCCAACUUGGGUAUAAGCCUGGGAAACUGGGUCUAAUUCCCGAUAGGACUGCAGGGUGGUGCCUGUGGUGGAACACGAUGUUCUAGUGGUUGGGGAUGAGCUCGCGGCUUAUCAGCUUGUUGGUGGGGUACUGGCCUACGAAGGCGUCGACGGGUAGCCGGCCUGGGAGGGUGGACGGCCACAUUGGGACUGGGAUCCGGCCCAGACUCCUAGGGGAGGCAGCAGUGGGGAAUAUUGCACAAUGGGCGGAAGCCUGAUGCAGCGACGGCGCGUGGGAGAUGACGGGCUUCGGGUUGUAAACUCCUUUCGACCGAGAGGAAGCCACCUGGUUGGAGGGGUGGUGACGGUAGUGGUAGAAGAAGCACCGGCUAACUACGUG
rnacentral:rRNA from 1 species